AUUGAACGCUGGCGGCAGGCCUAACACAUGCAAGUCGAGCGGAAACGAGUUAUCUGAACCUUCGGGGAACGAUAACGGCGUCGAGCGGCGGACGGGUGAGUAAUGCCUAGGAAAUUGCCCUGAUGUGGGGGAUAACCAUUGGAAACGAUGGCUAAUACCGCAUGAUGCCUACGGGCCAAAGAGGGGGACCUUCGGGCCUCUCGCGUCAGGAUAUGCCUAGGUGGGAUUAGCUAGUUGGUGAGGUAAGGGCUCACCAAGGCGACGAUCCCUAGCUGGUCUGAGAGGAUGAUCAGCCACACUGGAACUGAGACACGGUCCAGACUCCUACGGGAGGCAGCAGUGGGGAAUAUUGCACAAUGGGCGCAAGCCUGAUGCAGCCAUGCCGCGUGUAUGAAGAAGGCCUUCGGGUUGUAAAGUACUUUCAGUCGUGAGGAAGGCGGCGUCGUUAAUAGCGGCGUUGUUUGACGUUAGCGACAGAAGAAGCACCGGCUAACUCCGUGCCAGCAGCCGCGGUAAUACGGAGGGUGCGAGCGUUAAUCGGAAUUACUGGGCGUAAAGCGCAUGCAGGUGGUUUGUUAAGUCAGAUGUGAAAGCCCGGGGCUCAACCUCGGAAUAGCAUUCGAAACUGGCAGACUAGAGUACUGUAGAGGGGGGUAGAAUUUCAGGUGUAGCGGUGAAAUGCGUAGAGAUCUGAAGGAAUACCGGUGGCGAAGGCGGCCCCCUGGACAGAUACUGACACUCAGAUGCGAAAGCGUGGGGAGCAAACAGG
rnacentral:rRNA from 1 species